rnacentral:lncRNA from 1 species
CUCUUUCCCAUGCUUCAGUUCUUCUCUCAUGUUGAAAAUGAAGCUUUUCACACUAAGGCCAAUGAAUGGCCUUAGUAUCCACUAUUCCCGCAAACCACAGAAUUCCAUUAAGUGUUUAAACUCUGAGCCUACCUUUAGAAAUUGAUUUGGUAUUGGAUAAAGCAAUUUCUCUUAGGAAGCAUAUCUUCAGAAUAUUUCAUGUGGAUUAUUUUUCUCUAACACAACAUUCAAACACAUGUCCCUAUCACAAACCUCCAGAGCAACUUCACAAAUAAUGCCUAUAGGUCUAAAUCUUUGCUGUGUAUGAAUGAAGAUACACCUAAUC